UAAAUGAGAAUGAUAAGGUGA
rnacentral:piRNA from 1 species